rnacentral:tmRNA from 1 species
GGGGCUGACCGGAAUUGACGGGGUGAGCAUCUAGCAGGUAAGCACGUAGUGCAUUGGGAUGUUGGCACUUUAAUCUUAAUACUCAACUUUUAUCUGGCGAUUACAAUUUCGCUAUGGCUGCCUAAUCAGGAAGAUUACGCAAUAGCCAUUGUCUCGCAAGUGUUAGCUUAACCGCAUUUGCAAUAGAGGCAUCAUUAGGAAAAGCCUUUUUUUAAGACAGCUCUUGUUUGAAAAAAGUAUUUAAUGAGCUAAGGAAAAUUUUGGCAAGUUUUGCAGCCUGAGUUUUCACUAAAAUUAAUGCAUUACUAAACGUGUAGAAAGCUUGACUAUUCCAUCUCCGGACCAGGGUUCGAAUCCCUGCAGCUCCACUG